rnacentral:rRNA from 1 species
GACGAACGCUGGCGGCGUGCUUAACACAUGCAAGUCGAACGGAAAGGCCCCUUUGGGGGUACUCGAGUGGCGAACGGGUGAGUAACACGUGAGUAACCUGCCCUUGACUUCGGGAUAACUUCAGGAAACUGGGGCUAAUACCGGAUAGGAAUCCUUGCUGCAUGGUGGGGGUUGGAAAGCUUCGGCGGUUUUGGAUGGACUCGCGGCUUAUCGGCUUGUUGGUGGGGUAGUGGCUUACCAAGGCUUUGACGGGUAGCCGGCCUGUGAGGGCGACCGGCCACAUUGGGACUGAGAUACGGCCCAGACUCCUACGGGAGGCAGCAGGGGGGAAUAUUGCACAAUGGGCGGAAGCCUGAUGCAGCAACGCCGCGUGCGGGAUGACGGCCUUCUGGUUGUAAACCGCUUUCAGCAGGGGCGAAGCUUGUGGUGACGGUACCUGCAGAAGAAGCACCGGCUAACUACGUG